GAAUUACUGGGCGUAGAGGGUCUGUAGGUGGUUUGUUAAGUCAGAUGUGAAAGCCCAGGGCUCAACCUUGGAACUGCAUUUGAUACUGGCAAACUAGAGUAUGGUAGAGGAAUGGGGAAUUUCUGGUGUAGCGGUGAAAUGCGUAGAGAUCAGAAGGAACACCAAUGGCGAAGGCAACAUUCUGGACCAAUACUGACACUGAGGGACGAAAGCGUGGGGAUCAAACAGGAUUAGAUACCCUGGUAGUCCACGCUGUAAACGAUGAGUACUAGCUGUUGGAUUCGGUGUAAAGGAUCUAGUGGCGUAGCUAACGCGUUAAGUACUCCGCCUGGGGACUACGGCCGCAAGGCUAAAACUCAAAGGAAUUGACGGGGACCCGCACAAGCGGUGGAGCAUGUGGUUUAAUUCGAUGCAACGCGAAGAACCUUACCUGGUCUUGACAUCCUGCGAACUUUCUAGAGAUAGAUUGGUGCCUUCGGGAACGCAGUGACAGGUGCUGCACGGCUGUCGUCAGCUCGUGUUGUGAAAUGUUGGGUUAAGUCCCGCAACGAGCGCAACCCCUAUUGAUAGUUACCAUCAUUAAGUUGGGUACUCUAUUGAGACUGCCGCUGACAAGGCGGAGGAAGGUGGGGACGACGUCAAGUCAUCAUGGCCCUUACGACCAGGGCUACACACGUGCUACAAUGGGUAUUACAGAGGGCAGCGAAGUAGCGAUAUGGAGCGAAACUCAGAAAGGUACUCUUAGUCCGGAUUGCAGUCUGCAACUCGACUGCAUGAAGUCGGAAUCGCUAGUAAUCGCAGGUCAGAAUACUGCGGUGAAUACGUUCCCGGGUCUUGUACACACCGCCCGUCACACCAUGGGAGUGGGUUGCUCCGAGAAGUAGAUAGCUUAACGAACUGGGCGUU
rnacentral:rRNA from 1 species